rnacentral:rRNA from 1 species
AUUGAACGCUGGCGGCAGGCCUAACACAUGCAAGUCGAGCGGAGCGGCGGACGGGUGAGUAAUGCCUAGGACUCUGCCUGGUAGUGGGGGAUAAGGUCCGGAAACGGGCGCUAAGACCGCAUCCUAUUAGAAUAGCCUAGGUCGGAUUAGCUAGUUGGUGGGGUAAAGGCCUACCAAGGCGACGAUCCGUAACUGGUCUGGGAGGAUGAUCAGUCACACUGGAACUGAGACACGGUCCAGACUCCUACGGGAGGCAGCAGUGGGGAAUAUUGGACAAUGGGCGAAAGCCUGAUCCAGCCAUGCCGCGUGUGUGAAGAAGGUCUUCGGAGUGUAAAGCACUUUAAGUUGGGAGGCGUUACCAACAGAAUAAGCACCGGCUAACUUCGUGCCAGCCGCCGCGGUAAUAC